AUUGAACGCUGGCGGCAGGCCUAACACAUGCAGGUCGAGCGGAUGAAGGGAGCUUGCUCCUGGAUUCAGCGGCGGACGGGUGAGUAAUGCCUAGGAAUCUGCCUGGUAGUGGGGGAUAACGUCCGGAAACGGGCGCUAAUACCGCAUACGUCCUGAGGGAGAAAGUGGGGGAUCUUCGGACCUCACGCUAUCAGAUGAGCCUAGGUCGGAUUAGCUAGUUGGUGGGGUAAAGGCCUACCAAGGCGACGAUCCGUAACUGGUCUGAGAGGAUGAUCAGUCACACUGGAACUGAGACACGGUCCAGACUCCUACGGGAGGCGGCAGUGGGGAAUAUUGGACAAUGGGCGAAAGCCUGAUCCAGCCAUGCCGCGUGUGUGAAGAAGGUCUUCGGAUUGUAAAGCACUUUAAGUUGGGAGGAAGGGCAGUAAGUUAAUACCUUGCUGUUUUGACGUUACCAACAGAAUAAGCACCGGCUAACUUCGUG
rnacentral:rRNA from 1 species